CAGCAGCCGCGGUAAUACGAAGGGGGCUAGCGUUGCUCGGAAUUACUGGGCGUAAAGGGAGCGUAGGCGGACAUUUAAGUCAGGGGUGAAAUCCCGGGGCUCAACCUCGGAAUUGCCUUUGAUACUGGGUGUCUUGAGUAUGAGAGAGGUGUGUGGAACUCCGAGUGUAGAGGUGAAAUUCGUAGAUAUUCGGAAGAACACCAGUGGCGAAGGCGACACACUGGCUCAUUACUGACGCUGAGGCUCGAAAGCGUGGGGAGCAAACAGGAUUAGAUACCCCCGUAGUCCCUGUCUCUUAUAC
rnacentral:rRNA from 1 species